CAGAGUAGUGUCUCUGAGGAAGCCGGGAUUCAGGAACUGCCAAAUGCAUCGUACAUGGUAGUCUGCACUUGGAACUGAUAAGGAAGGGCACCCGGAGCGACCAGCACAAAGCAUGUCGAUCUAUCUUCGCUCCUCAGCUAUGUAGUUGACUCGCAACGAAAAUCGAUCCGCUGGCGACAGGGAGGAGCUUCGCCUGUUUGCUCGGCUGACGUUCUGCACACAAAAGCGCAUGGGAUUUCCUGAAGGGUGUUUACUAUAUCUCCCCAGCAUACAGUUCAUACACAUGUUAUCCCAUACAGGCGUAGGCGCUUUCCACGAGUGAUGAACAAAGAUAGGAUGC
rnacentral:sRNA from 1 species